AUUUGGGCCAGGGCAAACAUGCACAUCCCUGGCGUGAAACAACUAGGCCAAACCAAUAGCGCAUCUCCUAUGCAACUGAAUAUCAACCCUGUCAAUAUUCGUCUGGAGAACCUGUAUCUGAAAAAUAAGACCGUCAAUCAUGAUUAUUGCCCAGCUCUGAUCCAAGAUUCCAAGCAAACAGAAGUACAGAGAAGCAGUGAAGAAAUAUUCCAGCGUACACUUACAUUUUCAGGUGACUUUUUCGGUUGUAAUAUUUUUCAAUCAAUGUUCAUCUUUUAUAAAGUGAUAUAAUUUUUUUUUUUUUGUUUAAAAUAUUACAGAAAUAUCGUUAACAUAUAUAUUGCCGGCUGUCGAAACGUAAUAGCGAUCAUUUCGUACGUUACAUAGGAAGAAGAGCAAUCAUCGGUAUGUACGUCACAAGGCCGACGCAGAACGUUAUAUUCUGCCUCGUAAUAAAUCGAUCCUCUUCUUUGUUUCCAACGGAAAAUUUCUCUUACGAGAUCAAUCGAGAAUUUCACGCGAUCUGUGGAGUGCGAAAAUCGUUAAAAAGAACAAACUUGGCGGGACGUUUAAAAAUAUGUGCGUUACCGAUUAGGAAAAAAAAGUGACCUGAAAAUAAGCAUAUUGGUAUUUUAUCGAUAUAAUCAUGAUAGUCGUAUCAUACUAAUAUAUACAUAAAAAUUGCCCAUGUUAAAUGUUGAAGUGCUUUAAUGAGCCACUGUAAACGGCAAUAACUACGUUGCGUCGUUAAGUUGAUAAUAAAAACGGAAACACGGAGGUCGAUAAAUUACCCCCGGUUAAUACUUCUCGAUUUUAUCUCCAAAAUGCAUGGGGCGCUAGUGACACUACUGAACAAGAGGCGUGAGACAAAAAGGAUCGGCACAUGCAAAAUUCUGUCGCACUUACUCCUGCGAUAAACUAAUUCCAUGUAGAAGAACAAAGACGAUAAGACUUAUAAUUGGCAAACACUUGAAACAUGCCGUCAGCAGGGA